AUCCAACUGACGAGCCCCAAAUAGGACGAAACGCCCGUCAAACUGGGU
rnacentral:hammerhead_ribozyme from 1 species